GCCGGGAAGAUAUAUUUUUCGCUUUAAAAGCUUUUUCCCGUCGAGUUUUGCAAUUUUAGAGCAGCCAGUGUGUUAGAUCAUCUUCCUAAGAUAUCUCGUGCAAGGCGUCGAAGCGAUGGAGUAAAAAUAUGGAAGAUGAUAUUGACUAUGGCAAAGAAGAUGAAGAUAUAACAUCAUGUCCCCAAGCUGGCAGCUUGUUUGGAGCUUCUCUUGUGGGUGGACUCACCUAAAAAAGUUUGGAAAACAGCAUUUGAGUCAAAACUGUAUGAAACAUUGAGGUGCCCAGGGAUAUUCAAGAUAACUUCAUGUGGAAUAUUGUAAAAAAGGAUCAUAGGCAUAAAGGGAAAUUUGUAGGUAAAAUAACCUUAAAUAUGAAACUUUUUUUCUAGAGUCAAACCAGAAUUUUAUGACAGUAAAGUAUCUUAUGGUCAUGUCAAAUGUUCUUUGUAUUCACAAAAUUACUAAUACCGGUCCUUGAUAUCUUCCACAUAAGAAAGCUGGAGUAAAUAAUUAAUUUAGGAAUUGUUCACUUGGUAUUAGUUGGAAGGUUCAAAUCAAAGAAAGUUUAAAAACAAAUCAUCGAUCGUUUCACUAAGUAGCUUAUUUCUAAGUACCACAAGAUUUCCCUAUUCUUUUUAUGGAACUAUGGAUGAACAACCUAGCUGAAUUACUAGUUAGGUAAGGUUCAAGGAGGAUUUAAAGCUCCCAAAAUGCCUUGCGCGCGUGUACCUCAUUAUAAAUUCAGGUUAAUUAUUUAUCGAGAGGCGAUUUCCGGCGGAAAAAGGACGUGCCUUCAAAGCGUUUUUAUUCAUCGCAUGGUUAUAGGAGGUGAGUUUGACUUUCACUCAUGUUUUUAUAUACUUGUUUCAUGCCUUUCAAAGGAUUAGCAACAAGAAACACAAUGCAAGGUAGAACAUGCGAGACGGCUGAAGUGUUGCAUUGUGUUACCGCAUAGUCGCUAUUGUUUGUUGAUCUUUCCUUUGACCUCGGAUUAAAAUUGCUUUUGCGCCCUCCUCAUUGGGUACUUUAAGGAAUGCAUUAUUCCAUGCGUUAGUUUUUAAGUCACACAACAUGAAUUAUUCAAAAGUACCCAAAAGUACCCAGGUUAAACAGCAUCGGGGAAGUUUCAAAAUAAACCUUUUUUUUUGCGCUAACAGUGGAUAGCUGUCGUGACAUUUACCUCAAAAUGGUUUCCCGUCAAAAGUGUUUCCCUUCAAUCAGUCAAAAGACGCUUAUAUCGAUAUCUCACACACUCACCGAUAAUCGACUAGAGCUAAUGAUCGAGAGAAAAGCAGGGCUUGCAACAUUUUUUAGUUUGUUUUCAUUCUCUGUCGUCCAAAGGAUUACACAAGCCCGACGAGUAUUGGCCUCGACAGGAAAGCUAAAAUGCGCCAGCGACGUAUUUAUUUGCAGACAAGGAAAUCCCUGCACUGUCAUAAAACGAUUCUCUUUGAUGCAGUGAAGAUAAAUGACACUAUGCAGGUUGAGGGUCUAAAGUUGAUAAGACGCGGACAGCAUCGGCAGCCAUUUUUCUGCCUUGGUCACGAAACAACCUGGUCACGCAAGCUCGGCGGUUGAUAAUACGUUUUGCGCGCGCAAAGCAUCAUGGGAGCUCUCAAUCCUCCUUGGGUAAGGUUUAUACUUUUAAUAAGCUUAAAUAAAUAAGUUAAGUAAAGUAAGUACUUAAAUGCUUGAGUGGGUAAACUUAAAUUUGGGUGCUAGAAAAAUGUCAACACAAGGAGUUUUUAUCCUGCGAAACGUUAAAAAUAGUCUUACUUGCCUCCUGAUUAUGUGGCUUUCAACAUUAAUGGAGAUUUGCACCCCAGCCUCUGCUACGGCCCUGCCCCUGGACCCCUUGUUGAAAAUAGGUUUUCUAGUAAUAACAUGUUUUCUAGCAAGGGAAGGUUUUCUACUUUUAGUAUGAUCAGAGUAUAAACCAAGAACAUGGAUGAAGGUUGGUUAAAAAGUUUCUACGUAUUAAAUCCCCAGAGCUAACACAGUAUUAUACUUCUGGGUUUUUUAAUUCACACUAAAACAUAAUAUAAGACACAGCAUUUUGUGCAUUCAAAAGGUGCAAUAGGCUUUUGAAAUGAGAGGGGAUCUAUGAUUAUUUCACAUCACUUUUAUGUAUGGUGCUUGAUUGUAAAAAUUGUAUGAUUGGACAAAUUAUGUCCACUUUUCUCCCAUUUACUCUGACUAAAAAUACAGACUGAAUACUACCCCCCCCCCCCCCUUCCAACCCAUCCCUGGGAAAUUAUCCCUCUAACCUUCAAGGCAUAUAAAUCCUAAGCCCAUUCAGCCUUUCCGCUAUCAAGUCAUAGCCCAUUGAUGCUCCAGGGACAUUGUCAAAUAUUUAAAUUAAAGAGUUAUACACAAGAUGGGCUGGUUGGUACAAGCCAAGCAAAAAAAAAAAAAAAAAAAAAAACUGUGACUUCUAUUUGUUUUAUUUGAUAUUCUGUGUACCACAUGCUUUUUGUGUGUAGGAGAUGAGUUGAUUUAAGCUUAUACCACUAUUAAGUCAUUGAAAUAAAUAUGAAAUACUU